UUGAGUGUAGUUUGCUAAUUAGCCCCACGUGUAUCCCGUAAAUUAAGCCUUACAGUCCAGUGGAAAUACAGGGAUUUUGUUAUUAGGAUUGAAAUCAAUGUAGGUAAUAUUAGUAAAAACAAGUGGAACACGUCGCCAAACUUGCUAUUGCGUAAAUACCAGCAAAGUCAACUUCGAAACCAGUCAAUAAAUGUCAGCUUAGCUGAGCGGAUGUUAUGCUAACAGUUAAAAGAAAUGCUGUUUGUUUCCCAAAACGACCUGCUUCCAAGAAAGAGCCAGACAGGACUGAAGCAUGAACCCUUCUAGCUGCUGUUUACACACAGGGUGUGAAUACAAGAGCCCAGCUGCUCCAAGAGUGUGGCCGGAGACAGUCAGCUGAGGCCAAAGGGGCCCUCGACUCCUCACCUGGCCAUUACAGUAUGAUUGUCUCUGUGCCUCUACCAGCUUCCUGUCUCCCUAAUCCUUAAUCCUGUGGAAAUCGGUCAGGCAGAAUGAGCCAGCUUUGAUCAGGCUCUCAUAUCAGGCGUGCUAACAGUGUCAGCACACCCGGAUCCCACAGAACCCUGGAGCCCGGGGGGAGAGCUUCAAACAGGCGUUCACCCCCUGACUCUGCUUGAGAGGAAGGGGAACGAGAGGCUGCAGAGUUCCUGUCUCAACUGCCAGCUCCAGACUCUGUCAGCAGCCUCUCUUUUUAAUUUCCCAAACACCCCGAUUUUUCAUCAUUUAUCUGUGAUGGCACCUCUGCUUUCGGGUAGGCUUUUUUCCGCAUGAGCUAAACUUGCUGUGGGAAAAGAGAUCAGAAGCUGGGGUAACACCAUUAGAGGUUGAGAACAGUGUACAGCACAGCGAUGUGAAAGUCACUUCUGGUUUUAUCAGAGGUGUCCUUGACAGUAAGCCUUGAUUCUGUGUUGCUGGGGUUUUGGUAUUGUGAUCCACGGCGCGCGAUGAUACCUGCCUGAGUGGGAGGCAUGUCACACAACACCUAGUAAUAUUGUGGCAUAAAUGCAUCAUGCUGGAAAUUAAGCUUGCACUAAAUGUCAGUUUUUCACAGAACAUCUAUCAAAGUCCAACAAAAAAAAAAAACACACGCUGAAUUGGGCCAAAGAAAUGUGUGCUUUUUCCCACAUUUGAAUCCAGACACCCUACCCUGAAGAGAUGUAUAGUCACUGCAUUACAUUAACAAACCUGCUGCCACACAGUAAAGGUUUAGAGGGAGAAACCUAUACUAAAUGCAUCAUGCAUACACUGACUUGGAAUGAAUGCCAUAAGGCAAGUACUGCAGGGGAACACAUAUCAGAAUAACCUGAUAUAUUAAUAAAUAUGCUCAUAGCACACAGAUGGUGCAGAUAUUAGUUGAAAGGUUAUUUUAUUGUUAGAUAAGAAACAUGUUAAAGACUCAUUCAAAGAGUAUACAACCUUACAGAACUAACAGCACAUUAACGGUUUUCAUUUCUCACAUCACAUGACCUGGAAGUUGGAAUUCUCUGAAGAUCUUCAACAAAUCUCACAGUACACUCAGCCCAUUUAUUAAAUCAGUUCAGAUGGGUAAUCAGAUCAUUUGAAUCUGCUAUAGAAAUGAAGUAUUUGCCUUGGCUGGUAUAUUUCUUAACUGGAGACAGACUAGUUCUCGUUAUAAUAUCUGUGUUCAUAAUCCUUGUCUAUAAAAUGUGCAAAGAAGAAGUGAUUGUAGCACCAAACAAGGGUUCAAACAAAAAGUUAAAUAGAGCAAGAAGGGUAAAGGUAUCUAAUCCGAAAUACCUGAUAAAUUGUUGGAAGAAUACAAAUGUUCCUAUUUUGUAGACUCUCUCUUUACAUUCUUGACUUCUGGUCUGCCCUUCUGUGUACGCCAUCCAGCCUUCUCCAAGUAAAGACUGACAUCUAGUGGCCCAUCUAGUAAUGUAUAUACUGCAAUGCUAAGAGGGAACAUUAAUAACUCAAUGCAUUUUUUUCAUUGCACAAAAAAGUAAAAUAAGGAAAAAAGAAUUAAAUACAUUCUACUUGUUUUUUAUUUUACCACAAAUCCCCAACAAAUUAAGAUAUUUUGUCUGAAUGUGCUAUACAAACUAAAGUAAAUGGAAAGGGAAAGACCCUGUUAUUUGUGCCAAAUGUAUCGACCUUGUUUUAGUCAGUUAUAAGUUGCUUGUAUAUUUACUUAACGAGCGCUACACCGCCAUGCUAAUGCUGAUUAUACUUAUCACAGAACAGUGAGCCAGCUCAUGUAAUCUUAUUUGAAUUUUUACAGCAUUCGUUAUUUACACUUGCACCUGUAGCUUUUAAGUACCUUACAUCAAUAUGAAAUCAGUGCAUGACAGAUUUAGUUUUUUAAAUGAAAGCCAUCCACUUGAAGUUAAUAAUCGAAACAUCCUGACAGCAAUCAAGACUUGAUUUACAACUGUCACACUAGCACUCAUUUAUCUUUGUGCAGUUGGAGCCAGAAACAGCAAACUGCAAACCUUCAGUCUUCACUGUUUGUUACUAUUAUCAGCUGAUGUUCAGACUAUCAGUCAUUUCCAAUGUGUAGCUGCCUGUUUUACGGAAAUACUCCUGCUUUUAAUAUUCCUUCCUGUAUUUCUGAAAUUCCUCUCUUUGUACAUUAAAUUUGACUUCCUUAGAAUGUAAAUAAAGACUUGA